UAUCUAGUUUAAGAAAAAUGUUAACUUGUCGAGUUAGUGAUACUAUUUGUGAU
rnacentral:tRNA from 1 species